AGUAGGUGCAAGCAGGACAGCCUGGUGCGCUGUCGCCAGUCUGUUUUUCUUAAUUUUCGAUGGCCACCAAUCUAGGUAACCAAGUAUCUCGAAGCAUUAUGCACAGGAAUAGUCGGGUUUCCAGCACUCUUCACAAAGCGGUAUCAUAGUUGACCAAAUGCGACAAGGAUGAGAUGAGUUUUGCUGGGAUGUUUGUGAAUAACGAAAGUCGACACCUCCGGGCGAGAGAUGGGUUGGACCAAUCAUUGGAUUACGUUGCAAUACCCAAUUGAAGGAAGAGGGUCUGUGGCUAGGAUUUGCGAUCAGAUUUGUUGGAAGCUAUCAUUCAAGCCCAUUAGGAAUUGAUAGACUCAAUCGGAAUCUUGAAUUUCAGAGAGGGAUUUGCUUGCACUAUAGGUACAUGGAUUGGUUGGUUGUAAGGAAGCUAAUUCAUCCCAAAUUUCUUUUAAUUUGCCAUAAUAGGAGAUGAUGAACUGUUGGUCUUGGUGGAGAUUGGCUAUUUCACGCUUAAACCUGAAAAUCUUGAUUUUAUUACUCUGUUGAAAAUGAGUUUCCCAUACAAUCCAAAGGUUAUAUGGUGUAUCAUAGUAGAUGAGAUCCCCAUAAGAAACGAUCGAAUGAGUGAUGAAACCAAGACAUAAUCAUAUCAUAACAUCAAUCCCAAAAGGAGAGCGGUAGCAACAUCAUUUGUUCGAAGUUUAAUGGUGCCGAGGACAAAAUCUAGUUUGUUAUUUUGCAUUCAGGACUCGGGUUAUGGCAAUAUGCCAAGCAGGGUAAUUGUUGCCAUUGAAGAUUGCAUCUACGAGGGAUUGGUUAGGUUGAUCUGAAGAAUGUAAUUAAGGAGAUGCACCAUCUUUGAAAGAUUUUGCAACAAAAACAGGAUGAUUUUCAUCCAUGGAGAAGGUAUGGAAUGGCUAAACCUUAUGAUUUUGGUAUUAUAAUACAUGUGGAAUUUGCUAUAAUAGGAAACGAAACUAAUUUACGAAUGAAAGUGUACAAUAUCUUUGACAAAAGGAAUAAUUUUAAAGAGGAUGGGAAGGACUCAAGAAUGUACUAUACGAGCGUUAAGGAAAACACUAAGAGGUCUAUAGUGGUUGACACCCUCUCUUUAGUGAAAUGAAAAUACAAUUUUUUUAUCCGUAGAGACUGGCACUUAAACCUAACUAACACAUGUUACGUAAUCUCUAUCCAUUACCACAAGAUGUGUUAGUGUUAUAGUCUUUAGAUGUUUAUUUGAUUAGGUUUUUCUUAGUAGUAACCAUUUUGUAUUUUAUUUGACAGUCUACACUUCUGUGAAGAUAAGCUCGACCACUGGUAGAAAUGUGGUUUUUGCAAGAGGUUUGAUGAGACAACGGAGGUCUUGCAAUUUCCUCAUCAAUGACUCUAAACUGAUUUCAGCCCGACUCUGCCUAACAAAUCUUCCUCCGUCCACUUUAGGUAAUGUCCUUUCCUGAAUUUCUUUUGUAUUUUUCCUUCUUUCUAGCUCUUCUACGUUGAGCUAUCGUCUAGAAGAAAUUGAAGGGAAAAUAAAUUAAUUUAUUUUAUAAUCGAAGUCUGAAAAUUACAAUGAAUACACUAUCUUAAUUAUAGAGUCUAAGCAAACCUAACUUGACAAAGAAACAAAAAAAUGAUUCUAGUCAUAUUAGAAAACUAUAAUAAACUAAUCUAAUCAAAACAAACAUAAUUUAAAUCAAAUUCUAUUUCUAUUUUAUAAUACUAUCUAGAUCCUAUAUUUAUUCUUAUAUCCAUUCCCCAUUAUUUUCUUCGUUUGAGAGAACUCAACUCCAGCGAGAUAGGUUGUAACUUCUUAAUCAACGAGCAUGGUCUUUCCUCCUGACAAAAAUAAUGAAAUCACCACAUGAUGACAAUCGAAUCUGCAAAUCAAGGGAGGCAAUAUUUUCAUUUAGCCAAGUAGUGACACAAAACUCAAAAAAGAAACAAUUGUGCAACACAUCAACAAAAAUUAUCACGAAAUCCAAAUGAAGAGCACAGUAGACUGAUAUGCAAAAAUAAAUGAGUAAAAUACCAAUGGCUCGAAUGUGCCGUUACAAGAAAAUAAUUCAUAAAUAUUGAAAAUAAAAUCUUCAUUUAAGUAUGAUGGCAAGUUAAAUAUAUUAUUUGCUUAUUUCCAAGUGAGAAAUUCAGAAAUUUUUUCUUUAAAUAUUACGAAAAUGGCGCCAAAGAAACAUGUAACAAGGCAUAAUGAUUAAUGUAAAAUCAUUCGUGCCUAAACUGUACAUAAAAAGCAAACUCCUAAUUUUCAUAACUAAAAUAAAUUAUAAAUUUCAUCUCAGCAAGAAAAUUAGGAAAGGAAAAAUAGAGGUCGGAACUAAAAUAAUAUGACGAUAAUUAAUAAGCAAUAACCAAAUGUCAAUAUAAAAAGUACGCAAUAAAACAAUGACUUUGUACAAAAACGUAACAACAUGGAGAAUAGUACGCGGUUGAGGUAACGUUACAACAAAGUAAUUGACAAUAACGAUUUUGGCACGAAAGUUGAGGAUAUGUAGAAUGUCAAGCUUAAUUGUGUCGUGAUCAACCAUGUUGAGGACAAGUAUGAGAGGAAAUACGAGACAAUUCUCAAAACUCAUAUCCUUACUAUGAGAAUAUUCAAUAGGCUCAAUAAUAUAACAAUUCUCAAAAGUCUUAUCGUCAUUAUGAGAAUAUUCAAUAGGCUCAAUAAUAAAAUCAACAUUUUCUUCAUCAUAAUGAGGACUAACAAAAUCAAAUUAAGGGUGAGACUCUUGGAAUUGGGGUGGUAGGCUUUUGGCAUGAUAUACUUGGCGAAAUAGAUUGGUCUGCGAUAAGCUUUAUCUAAGGAUUGGAAUGAAUGUCGUCAAGCAUGAUUUCAAGACUCAAAUCAUUGAAAGAAACAUAAAUGCGGUGACAUGGGGAGCAUUAUGAAUAUCACAAUUGUGAAAUAGCUCUUUGAAGUGGGUUAGAUAUUUGAUAACAGUGGACGUACCUUGUCUACGGUGCAAAAGGAAUUGGUCUAGUAACUGAGUUCCAAACACAUAGUGGCAUAUUUAUUACUUAAUAUUCAUUUUAUCUCAUUCCACAAAAGAGAAAUUAUGCUAAUCUAGACAAUCAAUCUAUAAUUCAUGAUAUAUUAAAUAUUAGUCAAUUGAGAAUCAUUUUUUGGACAAUUGUAUCCUUACCAUAAAACUCAAUUAUUUCAAUAAUAUCUUACUUUGUCGUUUUUCAAUAUGUAUUUAAUUAUUUAAAAAAAAAUGCCCUACUUUUCAUUUUUUUAAUAUGUAUUUAAUUUAUUUCUGAACUAUUUAAAAUAUUAUUAUUAUUAUUCUUUUGUCAACUAUUUAGUUAUGAUAAAUGUACAUUUGACACAUUUAUUGUCUCACUUUUCAUUUUUCAAUAUGUACUUAAUUUAUUUAAUCAUAUUUAGCAGAUUCAUUAUCUUUUCAUUUUUAAUAUGUAUUUGAUUCUUUUAAUCAUUUGAAUAAUAUUACCAUGAAUUAUUUUAUCAAUUAUUUAGUUAUGAUCAGAGUACAUUUGACAUAUUUAUAUUAUUUGAUUGGAUAGUAAAUUAAUUUCAUUAAAAAUUAGAACAAAAGAUGUAUAUUUUUAGAGUUUUCUUCCAAUUGAUUUAUUCAAUGAAUGUUAAGAUACGAAUGAGGUAAAUGUGGGAACAUAGUGCAUAUCUAUAAUAAAUAAUUUCAAUUAAUAUAUUCAAUGGAUAUUUAACGAAUAUAAAGAAAUGAUCGUAUUCGUUUAAUGUUAAGUUCAGAUCAAAUGGGUAAAUAGAGGGAGUAUUCUAAUUGACUUUAUCAACUAUUUAAAUUGUUUUCAAAAACUAAUUUUUAUAUCAUUUUAAUCAAAAGUUCAUUCCACAUUUCCACAUGAACACUUUUAUUAAUUAUUUUUUUAUAUUCUCACAUUUUUCAAAUAUUAUUUUUAUAGCAUUUAUAAAACAUUUCAGAAUAACGUGUAACGCACGUUUGACUAUGACUAAUAUUACACAAAAAUGACUUCCAACAACAUUUAUCAGAUCCAAUAAGUGACAUAUUAGCAUCAUAUAUACGAAAGACUCAUUCAUGUUGUGAAAGUUAAAAAACUUUUCAAGAUCAUCUAGAUAACAAAAAAAAAGUUCGGGACCAAGACCAUCAAAGUCCCAAAGUUGAAAUUUAACUCUUAGAGAAGGAUAAUGAACGUCCUCAACAUUUUCCUAAGGGAAGAUGAAGGCACACAUUCUGGUCAAGACCCAAGGAUUUGGUAUGGCUUUAAGAGUUGUAGUACGUGUUAUUUGGGAGAAGAAAAUCAAAUUUUAUUUUCUUGAAUUUCUUUACAGUGACAACGGUAUAUAAACACAAUGAAUAUUCCUCCUAUUUUGGUAUACAUAUAUCUUGCUAUAAUUUAAAGAUAAUUUUGCCUCUUGAUUGAUCUGUUGGCCCCAUAAUGUAGAAAUUUGCCUCCUUAAUUUGAUCCUGUAAUUUUCCUUUAGACAACUCAUGCCAACACUUCCCCUCAAGUUGGUGUGUUAUCAUGCCCAAAUUGCUAAGUGAGUUAUGAAAACUCCUAUUACAUACAGCCUUUGUUAGGAUAUCUGCUAACUGGUCUUCGAACUUCACAAAAGGAAGGCGAAUUAUCAUAACUUCGAGAUUCUGCUUGAUAAAAUGCCGAUAACUUCUACAUGUUUGGUUCGAUCAUGCUGGACUGAAUUAUGUGAAAUGUCAAUCGCCACCAUAUUGUCACAAAAUAGAUUCAUCUCGCACUUAGGAGCAAACCCAAUCUCAGAUAAAAGUUUCUUAAGCUAAAGAAGCUCACAAAGUCCUUUUGCCAUUCCUCGAAAUUCUGCUUCUGCACUUGGUAACGACAAUACCUUCUGUUUCUUACUCCUCUAGGUAACUAGGGUCACUCCAACAAAUGUGAAAUAGCCUAGAGUAGAUUUCCUAUCUGAUAUGUUUCCUGCCCAGUCUGCAUCUGUAUAGCCUUCAACAUUUAGAUGAUCAUUUUUUGAAAAUAGAAGUCCACUUCUAGGGAACGACUUCAAGUAUCAAAGAACUUGCAUUACAGCAUUCAUAUGAUCUUCACUUGGACAGUGCGUGUAUUGGCUCACCAACCUUACUGCAUAGGCAAUGUCAGGUCAACUAUGUGACAAAUAAAUCAGUUUACCAACUAGUCUCUGAUAUCUAUCUUUGUUGGUUGGAACUUGGUCCGAAUAUUCCCCAAGUCAGUGAGUCUGGAUUAUUGGUACAUCAGCUGGCUUGCAAUCUAGUAACCCAACGUCAGCUAGUAAAGUACAUAUUUUUACUAAGAAAGGAAUAUCCCAUGAUUAGAUCUAGCAACUUUGAUUCCCAAGAAGUACUUGAGCCCUCCUAAGUUCUUCAUCUCAAACUCUGAUGCUAACUGAUUUUGAAGUCUUGCAAUCUCGUCUGCAUUAUCUCCUGUAAUGAUCAUAUCUUCAAAAUAGACAAUUAGUGUUGUACUUUUACCCUGUCUGCAUUUUAGAAAUAGAGUGUGAUCAGAGUUGCUUUGUUGAAAGCCAUAUUUCUUCAUUGCCAAACUCAGUUUCCCGAACCAAGCUCGAAGAGAUUGUUUCAAGCCAUAAGUUUUCUGCAAUUUGCAUAUGACAUCUACAAAUUUACAUGGACAUUCCUCACGGAUAUAUGCAAAUUGGAGAGCUAGGAGAGUUUACCUCAGUGAUAUUCUCAAGAGAAGUGUCAUUGGGUGUUAAGGAGUGAGGGUGAUCUACGGGAGGGGUCGUCUCAGUCUUAGUAGUGCCUUCAAUUUCCAUUAGUGGAGAUAUAUCCGGGUCAUUAAACCCUGGCCAAUCAAAUUGCAGCCAAUUUAUCUCUUCAUCAUGUUUCUCAUGAUUCUCCCCUUGAAGAGGAAAAUUGGAUGCUUUGGACGUAAAGAAAGUCUUAGAUUCUAGAAAUGUAACAUCCAUUGACACAUAUGUACACCGAUGAGUGGGAUUGUAGCAUCUAUUCCCUUUUUGAUGUACGCCGUAGCCCAAGAAAAGACACUGAAUUGCAUGAGGACCGAUUUUAGUGCGUUGAUCCUUGUGGAGGUGAACGAAGGCAACACAUCCAAAGACACGUGGUGGAAUCAUCAGGACCGAGGCAAGGUGAGGUAAGUGGAUAGUGCUUGGAGAGGAGUCUACAUUUUAAGGACUUUUGAUGGCAUUCUGUUAAUAACAUGAAUGGCCGUUGUGACUACAUCUGCCCAAUAAUGGCUGGGCAUAUUAGCUCCAAGAAGAAGGGCUCGUGCGGUCUCAAGGAUGUGGCGAUUUUUCCGCUCGACAACCCCGUUUUGCUAUGGGGUCUGGGGACAUGAUGUCUCAUAAAUUAUUCCAUGGUGGCGCAAAAAAUCAUGGAACUGAGUAUUCACAUAUUCGCCACCAUUAUCGAAGUAAAGAACCUUAGGUUUGGCACAGUAUUGGUUGCAGAUCAUCUCAUAAAAGGAUCAAAAUGUAUCAAAUACUUCAUAUUUAUGUCUUAAAAAAUACAACCAUGUCAUUCUAGUACAGUCAUCGACAAAUAUUACAAACCACCGAUAGCCAAGCUUAGUAGGUUUCGGGGACGGGUCCCACACAUCAAAACGAAUCAAUGUAAAAGGAACCAUACUUUUAUUUAAAAUCAAAGGAUAACUAGUUUGAUGGCUUUUAUCUAGAAUGCAUGUCUCGCAUUUAUAUUCCGAACUUGAUACAUCCGAAAAAAAACUAGGAAAUACUUACUUUAAAUAACUAAAUGAAUGAUGACUUAACUGGCGGUGCCAAAGCCAAAUUUGCUCCUUCUUCGAUUUAUUCUAAUGGGUAAUCUGACAUGCAUGUCUCACCUUCAAAUUCUCUAUUUAGUAGAGUCCCACCUUCUCAAUACCACUCCCAAUGAUCUUCUGGGUGAGAAUAUCCUGAAGAAACAAACAUUAGGAUAAAUAAUCGUAACACAUUUUAAUUCCUUGGUAAUCUGGCUCACAGAUAAUAAUUUAUGGAAAAGAGAAGGGACAAGUAAUGUAUUGGAUAGAGAUAAGUCUCGUGACAACACCACAGUACCCGCCUCGAUUAUCGAGCAAACUUUUCCAUUAGCAUUUGCAAUGCUCAUUCUCCGGGGUGUAGACCAUUGGGAGAAAUCCCUUUCAUCAUAAGUCAUAUGGUUGAAAGCUCCCGAGUCAAGUAUCCACUCGGUAUAAGCAUCCUCCAUGUUGGACCCAAGCAAAAUGGUACCUGUGAUGGCAUCAUUGUAGCUUUCCUAUGUAGUGACAUUAUGGGCUUCGGCUGGAAUUAGAGAGAGUCGAGUCAUUUGCAGCAACUGAAGCUUGCCCACCAAAGCACCCAUACCAUUAUCACGUUUUUUUUUCUUUGCCUGUAAUUUGAGCCACCAUUCGGGAUAGCCAUUGAGCUUGAAACAUGUCUCCCGAGUGUGUUUAGGUCCUCCACAAUAAGAUCAUUUCUCCCCGUCGGAUACAGUCUUCAAUUUAGAAGUGGAAUUCAUCUUUCCAUUUUUAGAGACCUUUGGUGUAGGCGCUCCAAUCUUCAAGCUUUUGGAUGCCAUCACAACACCUGGUGGUUCCUCGCUUGUGGCCUUUGUCAUUAAUACUUCCCGUACCGCCUCUCGUCGGACAUGGGCGUAUGCUUGCUGCACGGUGGGGAAACGUUUCAUUUGCAAAAUAUCUCUUCGAGCACCAUCUAGCUUAUCAUCUAGGCCAUCCUGGAAGGUAUAUACACGAUCUUCUUGUAACAUGCUAUUAUAUUUCUAAAUAUCAGUCUGGCACUGCAUUAGAUUCGGCCUUCGAAAGUCAAUUUCUUUCCAUAGUCCCUGAAGGUUGUUGUAGUAUUUUUCCAGUGAGUCACCAGCUUGUUUUAAGCGUGUUACUCGGCAACGGAGGUCAUAUACUUGGGAGGCAUUGCUCCCAUCGAAGUAGGUUGUGUUGGUGUGAGUUGUUAGAAAUCUUUUUCUGGAAACAUAAAUCAUAUAUAAUUGUAUCAUUUUAAAGGAAUAGAAUUAGGCAAUUAUGUGUAGAAUCAAUUAAUUAGCUACAAAUUUGUGAUUAUCCAAAAUUAGGAGUUUUUUUCCUAUAUAAACUCUGUAACCUACCUAUUGACCGUAUGAAUGAAAAUUACCUCUUGUGUGUAUUGUGACAUGGUAUCAGAGCAGGACACACGGUCCUAGUUCCUCUUCUCCAAGUUACCAUUAGCCCGGUUCUUGUGAACAUUUUCACAAACACAUGGAAGACCCCAACUUCAUCGCCGAUCCCAGCCAAUCUUCACCUAAUUCUGAUGCUAUACUUACAGAUAUUUCCACCAAAAUUUCUGAAGCCUUAACCAAGACACACAUAUCAGCCCCACUCACUAAAAAUUCGCCCCAGAUUGGUAUCAAACUGAAUGAUACAAACUAUGGCCUAUGGUCCCAGGUUAUGGAAAUGUAUAUUUCCGGGAAAGAUAAACUGGGUUACAUUAAUGGAGAUACAUCUCCACCCCUACCGACUGAUCCCUCCUUCCGAAAAUGGCGAACUGAGAAUGCCAUUGUCAAGGGAUGGAUUAUCAAUUCGUUGGACCCUGUUCUGAUUGGCAAUUUCAUUCGUUUCCACACUGCUAAGGAAGUCUGGGAUGCUAUUGCCACUACAUACUUUGAUGGGAAUGAUAAAUCCCAAGUCUAUGAUCUUCGACGAAGGGUGAGUCGCCUAAGACACUCAGGCGGAUCUGUGGAGAAAUAUUACACUGAACUGCAGGGGUUGUGGCGCGAAAUUGACUUCCGUCGCCCAAAUCCGAUGAAGUGUGCCGCUGACAUCCGCCACUUCAAUAAUUUGACCCAGGAAGACAGAGUUUACACCUUCCUUGAUGGGCUUGAUGAACGUCUCGAUAGCAUCCUUAGUGGAGUAUUGCAGAUGGACCCGUUUCCUACCGUUGAGCAGGCGUAUGCGUACGUCCAUCGUGAGGCACUGCGACAAGCAGUCAUGGUUUCUACAGACUCCGACAAUGGUCUUCCUGGAGCGAUCUUGGCAACCAAAGGCGUGAAGAUGGGAUCAUUUCCUGUUGCUGGAAUAAAUUCUUUAAAGGGAGACCCAAAUAAAAGUGAUGGAGGCCCAAAUAAAAGUGGGCCAAAUAAGUUAAAGGGUUUGGAUGAGGAAAUUAAGUGUUCAUACUGUGGAAAUAACAAGCAUGCACGAGAAAACUGUUUUAAACUUAAUGAAUACCCCGAUUGGUGGCAUGAGUUGUAGGAAAAAAGAACAAAAAUGGGACGGGCACCAAUAAGCGAAUAGGCAAGGCGGCCGUGGCAACAUCUGACUCUCAACUAUCUUUGAUUUCUGAAAAUGAUUAUUUUCAGGAUACGGACCCCUCAUCAGAACCAGGUAAUUUUGGUUCAGCUUGUGUUACAUCCUCCAGUGACAAAAAUAAUAAUUUAUGGUUUCUUGACUCCGGGGCAACUGACCAUAUGACUUAUGAUGAAAGAGAUUUUAUUCAGAGGACCUCACCUCGACGCAACAGGGUUGCGAAUGCAAAUGGAGUUAUUUUCCCAGUCACCAGGACUGGCUCUGUAUCUCUGUCUCCCUCUCUACAUUUAUCCCACACUUUACUUGUUCCAUCACUCUCACAUAAAUUAUUGUCUGUAAGCCAAGUGACGGCUGAAUUAAAUUGCGUGGUACUUAUUUAUCCAACCUUUUGUCUUCUUCAGGAUAUUCUCACCAAGGAGAUACUUGGGCGUGGUACUAAGAGAGAGGGGUUAUACUACAUGGAGGAUUUCAGUGUCGGUCACACUUAUCAUGUUCAGAGUAAUGUGAAGGAACGACAGAUUUGGAUGUGGCAUCGUCGUCUUGGGCAUCCAUCAUUCGGUUAUUUAAAGCAUUUAUUACCUAGCCUUUUUUCGAAUAAGGAAGUUUCUGAUUUUAAAUGUAAUACCUGCAUUUUAGCGAAAAGUCAACGCAAUUCUUAUCAAUCAAGCAUGAAUAAAAGUAGUAUUCCUUUUUCCCUAAUACAUUCUGAUGUGUGGGGCCCUUCAAUUAUUGCUACAAGGUUUGGGUUUCGUUGGUUUGUUACAUUUAUUGAUGACUGCACUCGCAUGACCUGGCUCUAUCUACUAAAAAAUAAAGAUGAAGUGUUCAAAGUAUUUCAGUUAUUCCAUGCCAUGAUUCAAACUCAGUUCUCUGCCAAACUAAGAGUUCUUCGUUCCGAUAAUGGUGGUGAAUUUAUCAACCAACGGUUUCGCACUUACUUUGAACAACACGGUCUCAUUCAUGAGAUGUCUUGCCCUCAAACCCCUCAACAAAACGGCGUUGCUGAACGAAAAAUCGACAUAUUCUUGAAACUGCAAGAGCUCUCCUUCAUGGAAUCUAUGUUCCAAACUGUUACUGGCCUGAUGCAGUGUCCACGGCUGUAUACUUACUCAAUCAGAUGUCCUCUAAAGUCUUAAAUUUUAAGACUCCACUCCAGGUCCUAUCUUCCCAUGUUGCUCUACCACCAACUCUAAUGCUCUCUCAUCGAGUAUUUGGUUGUGUGGCCUAUGUACAUCUUCACAAGAAUCAACGGACAAAACUUGACCCAUGUGCUCUCCGAUAUCUUUUUGUGGGAUAUGCUACACAUCAAAAGGGCUAUCGGUGCUAUGAUCCAUCCUCCAAACGGACCUAUGUAACUAUGGAUGUUACCUUCUCGGAGUCUGACACAUUUUUUUCUCCAACAUCCAAUUCUCCUCUUCAGGGGGAGACAAGGGAUGAAGAGUUGAAUUGGUCGAAGUUUGAGUGGUCAAAUAAUACUGAGAUAGAGACAGCUCCGAUAUAUAUUGACUUAAGGAAUGAUAUGACUCAAGAUCCGGAACCAACUGUAGAAGCUGAACCAAACUCCACGGAACCAGAGCCCCCUUUCUCUUCAGUAUCCGCAGGCCCAUCUCCUGAGAAUAUCUCUGAGGUAAGCACUCCUUUACAUAUAAGCAAUUUAGAUACUCCUGGUGGCUAUAAUUUACCUUUCAGGCAUAAUCGAGGCAAACCGCCAAGCAGAUACUCUCCAGACAUUGAAAAACGAAGAUCAAGAUAUCCAGUUGCCAACUAUGUAUCCACCACGAAGUUAUCUGAUCCACUGAAAGCUUUUGUACAUGUUCUCUUUUCUAAUCAUGUUCCAACAGGAAUUCAGGAUGCCUUAUCAGAUUCCAAAUGGACUCAGGCAAUAAAAGAUGAGAUGGAGGCACUAGUAAAGAAUAACAUGUGGAUACUAGUUCCAUUACUUGAAGGAAAGAAGACAGUAGGAUGCAGAUGGGUAUUUUCCAUCAAACACAAGGCAGAUGGAUCCAUUGAGCGGUACAAAGCAAGGCUAGUCGCGAAGGGGUAUACACAGACAUAUGGGAUAGACUACGAAGAGACGUUUUCACCAGUUGCUAAACUAAACACUGUUAGAAUACUAUUGUCCCUCACUGCUAAUCUUGACUGGCCACUACAUCAGCUUGAUGUGAAGAAUGCAUUUCUUCAUGGCGACCUCGAAGAAGAAGUCUAUAUGGACCUCCCUCGGGCUAUAUAGGGUCUUCACAAAAUGUUCUGUGUGAAUUGCAGCGAGCAUUAUAUGGCUUGAAGCAGUCAUCUCGAGCAUGGUUCGGACGAUUUAGUAUGGCAAUGAAGAAAUAUGGGUUCAAAUAGAGUGACUCAGACCAUACACUCUUUCUUAAGUAUAAUGGAGGCAAAGUAACUGCAUUGAUAGUGUAUGUGGAUGACAUGAUUAUCACAGGGGAUGAUAAAGAAGAGAUAUCCAGAAUUCAGAAACAGCUGGCGUCUGAGUUUGAGAUAAAGAACUUGGAAGGCCUCAAGUAUUUCCUGGGAAUUGAAGUGGUUAGAUCAAGACAAGGCAUAUUCCUAUCCCAAAGAAAAUAUGUGCUAGACUUGCUGGCUGAGGUGGGGAUGUUAGAAUGUAAACCAGCAGAUACUCCUAUCACUCAAAAUCUUAAGCUGAGUGAGUGUUCAGAUCAAGUGCCAACGGAUAAAGGGAAAUAUCAAAAAUUAGUUGGCAAACUUAUAUACUUGCCUCAUACUCGUCCAGAUAUUGCCUAUGCCGUAAGUGUAGUUAGCCAGUUUAUGCAUAGCCCUAGCAAAGACCACAUGGAUGCUGUGACUCGAAUACAUCGAUAUCUAAAGUCCUCACCAGGGACGGGACUGAUGUUUUCAAAGAAUGAUCACUUGAAAGUUGAUGGCUAUACAAAUGCAGAUUGGGCGGGGAACAUUUCAGAUAGGAGGUCUACCUCAGGCUACUUCAUGUUUGUAGGCGGUAAUCUCGUUACAUGGAGAAGUAAGAAGCAAAAAGUGGUAUCAUUAUCGAGUGCUGAAGCGGAGUUUCGUGGAAUAGCAAAAGGACUUUGUGAAUUCCUCUGGAUCAGAAAACUACUCACUGAACUUGGCUUUGCUCCUAUUACUGAGAUGGAUCUAUACAGUGACAACAAAGCUGCCGUUGCCAUAUCUCAUGACCCGGUUCAACAUGAUAGAACAAAACAUGUGGAAAUAGAUCGACACUUCAUCAAGGAAAAUUUGGUAGGAGAGAUAAUUCGUUUCGCUUUUGUAAAGUCGAGGAUCAACUAGCAGACAUACUCACAAAGGCAGUUUCAAGCAAGGACUUUCACAACUCACUUAACAAGUUGGGCAUCAGAGACCUGUAGCAUCAACUUGAGGGGGAGUGUUGGCGUGAGCUGUUAGAAAUCUUUUUCUGGAAACAUAAAUCAUAUAUAAUUAUAUCAUUUUAAGGGAAUAGAAUUAGGCAAUUAUGUGUAGAAUCAAUUAAUUAGCUACAGAUUUGUGAUUAUCCAAAAUUAGGAGUUUUUUUCCUAUAUAAACUCUGUAACCCACCUAUUGACCGUAUGAAUGAAAAUUACCUCUUGUGUGUAUUGUGACAGGUUGUUGCAAUGGCGUCCCACACCAUUUUUGCCGUUGGAAAUCUAAUGAAGUUUCCAAUCGAUGAUGGAUCCAUGGAAUUGAUCAACCAACCUUCACUAUGGCGUUGUCGGUGCGCCAUUUGCGAAAAGUUGGGUCUGUCGAUGGAGGUUGGGGAAGAUCGCCAUUGAUAUACCCCAAUUUAUCUUUGCUGGCUAUGUACAUUUCCACCACUUGAGACCACAUUGUGUAAUUGGUCCCAUCUAGCUUAAUUCCAAUUGGUGGAGUGGACAUGUCGGUAGUCUGAGUCGGGGCUGAGGUUUUGGACAGCACCUCAACCAUUUUUUCAGUGAGUUCGAACAGAAUAGAAGAUGCAGAAGAUUCUUCCAAAUGUGGGUCUGCAUUAGCCAUGGUGAAAAGUUCCUGUCUCUGUGUUACUGGGUUUUGGUUUCAAGGUUAUGGAGGGUAAAGUAGCAGUUGCUCUGAUGCCAUGUUAUUUUGGAGAAGAAAAUCAGAUUUUGUUUCCUUGAAUUUCUUUACAGUGACAACAGUAUAUAAACAUAAUGAAUAUUCCUCCUAUUUUGGUAUACAUAUAUCUUGCUAUAAUUUAAAGAUGAUUUUGCCUCUUGAUUGAUCUGUUGGCCCCAUAAUGUAGGAAUUUGCCUCCUUAAUUUGCUCCUGUAAUUUUCCUGUAGCCAACUCAUGCCAACAGUACGAACUUUACAUAGUAUUGAGUGGAACGUUGAAACAAAACCAGUUAUUUGAAAUAAUUACAAAUUAUUACUUAGCACACAUACAAUACUAGGAAAAACUGUAAAAUCUAACCAAAGUGAUUUUCCUGUUGUAAUUAAACCGAACAAAAGAACAAUAUGUCUCGAUACUGGUUAAUGGAAAAGAACAGCAAAGAAGUAGUUGAUUUUUUAUUUUAAAAUGAUAUUGAGCAUUUAAUAACUAACAAAAAAAGAAUUCUUUUAUUUAAUUAUUAUUAUUAUUAUUAUUUUAAAGAAUCAAAAUUACUAUCCAAACACUGGAACAAAAGUAAAGUUGUUGAGAUAACAAAAAGUCUAUCUGAGCGAUUUACAUGCAGCCAGCAAAAAUGAUGUGAGAAUUUUAAUCUUGAUGUUGGGUGGGGACAAUCCAAAUCCAAUGGUGGCAAUGUAGACAGAUUUUGAAGGUGAUGAACCGAUGGUGGUAUUUUUGUUAUGGCUUAGGCUUGAUUAUAUUGCAUCAUUAACUUAAAAACACUAACAAAAUAGAAAACUAAAUUGAUUUUAACACUUCUGACACUGUACUACAAAUAUUAAACAAAAGUUCAAAUUGAAAGCAAUCACACUGCAGAAUCAAGCAAGCAAGCAAGCAAGCAAAAUGACACAAAAUAUGGAAAACGAGGCCCUCCAAGUUCCUCUUUAACGUGGCCAUGAUAAAUCCAACUGCCCUGCUCUGCCACCACAUAUUUUGUCCCUAUUUGGUGGGAUAUUAUGUGUUUGUUUGAUAGAGAUUUUGUCAAUUGAUUUUUUGAUCGUUAGAGAUAAAGUGAGUCUUAUAAAAAAAGAAUUUAAAAAUGAUAAUUGAAAUAGUGAAAUAACGGUAAAAAAAUUAAUGUUAAUUGUAUUAAAAUCUUUACUAAACAUGCUUUAUAUAUAUAUAUUAAAAUCAGGUUUUUAUAGAUUUUGGUAAAAAGGACUUCAUCUUGUAUGCUUUUCAUUUUUUAUUUUUCACACGAUAUUCGAAUAUGCCUCCAAGGUCCAAAUAUCCAAUUCCUUUGGUCAAUAAAGCACACAAUAACUGUUUUUCACAUAAAAAUUUGCCGACUUCCCCACCUAAACUUUCUUAGGUGGCCUUCAUAUAUUUGGUCAAUAGUCCCAUCGGCCUGUAAUAAAUGUUUGACAGCUGGUGAUUUCUUUUAAAAUCCAGGUCCCUCUCAAAGAUGAAUAAAAAUCUAGGUAUAAAUAAUUUUUAAUACGGGGUCCAUUGGAGUGAGGUUCGCUUAAAUAUUAUAAAAAAAUUAGGAAAAUAUUAAACGAAUAUGAUGAUUGACACAAUGGAUGAUCGAGCCUUCACAUGUCAAGAUAGGUCCAAUCAGAAUAAAAUAAUUUCAACCCCCACAUAUCUCUGUGUUGUGUCAACCCUUAUGCCACUCAUUGUGACUAUAUAGCUCGUUCAAAAAAAUUAUGCACAUAAAUAUUUCACGGUGACUGGGUCCACUUCCUCGUGUAUAUAUCAGUUGACAAUGAAUGUCCAUAUAGAGAGUUAGAACCAGAAAAAUAUACAGAACAUCCUGAGANUAGUGUGUGACUGUGUGAGUGAGGUUGCAAUAAAUGGUAUUAGCUACGCUAAAAUAAAGGUGGACAUGGCCCAAAAAUGUCGUUUUUUGGGCAUCAUGUUUUGGUAAAUAAUGAAUUGCCGUUUUUACUAAUAUUUUCUUUGGAUUUUCCAGUAAAUAAUUGAAUCAUCCAUAUGUGAUUACUUAAGUAUAACUCAUUACCUUCCAAAGAGUAUUUUAUAUAUUAUGGAUGCUAAGUAUGACAAGUUAAACAACACGACAUGAUCUUCAAGUAGGUUUAUAUAAGGUUAUAAGUUCUAAAUGAAAAACAUAACUAUGUAAUUUUUUUUAUGAAUUAUGCUUAUGGGUG
rnacentral:lncRNA from 1 species